rnacentral:lncRNA from 1 species
GGCAACAUGCUCAGGUCUCUUACCACGCUGUGGAAGCUUUGUUCUUUCGCUCUUUGCAAUGAAUCCUGCUGCUGCUCACUCUUUGGGUCCACACUGCCUUUAUGAGCUGUAACACUCACUGUGAAGGUCCGCAGCUUCCCUCCUGAGCCAGCGAGACCAGGAACCCACCAGAAGGAAGAAACUCAGAACACAUCCCAACAUCAGAAGGAACAAACUCCAGACGCGCCACCUUAAGAGCUGUAACACUCACCGCGAGGGUCUGCGGCUUCAUUCUUCAAGUCAGUGAGACCAAGAACCCACCAAUUCCGGACACACCAAGUCCUGAGUUCAGAAUUUUGUUUUUGAGAUGAACAUAAAAGCACCUAAAGGUCAAGGAAGAUGUUCUUCCUGUGAUAAGGAACACAAAGCCUGUUUGGUGGUCUCUUCACACGGAAGCGCAUGACACUUCGCUUUAGUGUAGAUGACCACUCCCCUCUGUAAGAGUCCAUUCUAAGUUGUUCUGUCAGUGAAACUCUGUUUAAAACAUGGCUUGUAUGAAGUUGUCAGGAAUCGGCUCUGACACUUGGAUGAUUCUUCAGCUGGCUAUAAAAUUCUAAAAUCAGAGUAACCGUGUAUUGACUUCCAACAUUCCACAUUUCCAAAGGUGUUUCCUGUGAUCUCUGGGAUCCUGAUCCGCACCACUCAACUUUGGCCUCCUAAACUUCAUCCUUGACCCCACCCCAGGUAGGAAGGAUGUGUGGAUAUUUCUUUUAUCUUUCUGCAACGAUGACCUUUUGGAGAAAAAGAAAGGAAGCAGGACCUCUUGACCAGAAUUUAUCCAGCACUCCAGCACGGCUUGCACGUUAUCUGGAGUAAAGAGACCUUCUGGGAUUUCAUCAGCCUCCUGUCCAUCAAGAGAGCCACAGCUAAGAACCUAGAAGGGUAGAAGCAAAAGAUUUUUUUCCUCCUGUAUAAUCCCAAUCCACUACUUAGUUCUUCCAGUUUUUGACUGACUGAAUUUUCAGUGAACUGUGUGUCUAACUGAAGCUUUGAGAGAGAGAGAGAGAGAAAGAAGGAAAAAAAGAAAAGGUUUUACUUCACUUGAACUUGUUAAAAAGGAAGAGACACAGAUCCAGCAUAGUAGAAGGAGAAAGAAAGCAGACAACAGUUUGGAAUGGAGGCAUUGAGACGGAAGAGUCCAUUGGAGAUGGAAUGUACACACAAAAAUAACAAUUUAGGUCCUUUGCUCAUGCAACAUCUUGUUCUAAUGUCCUCUGCUCCAGGUCACAACAUUGAGCUACAAAGUGUGUGCAGUGACUCCAGUCUGCAUUCAUGCUACAAGAUGAUCCGUUUAGUAAGACUGAGCAAGGCUUGUUAACCUCUUGGACGUGAGAGAUUUCCCCUGAGAAAAUAUAUAAAACAAGAGAAAAGAAAGAAAAUCAAGUACGAUCACUGAAAACCUGCUUAGUAGUAGCAACUAUUUACUGUAGCUGAUUUUUGUGCAAGGUCAACACUGAACCCUUUAAGUCCAUCUUAGUUCAAACCUCAUGACCAACCUGCCUUCCCCCCUCCCUCCCUCCACUGACACGUCAAACAAAACUAUCCUCCCUCCCUCCACCCUCCUACCCCUCCCAAAUCCUUCCUCCCCACUGCAAACAGACUGAUGGUUUCACAGCACAGAUUAGCAAAUCAUAAAACAUAUCCAUAAAUGCUCCAUCAAGGCUUAGCAAUGAAGCAACACCUAGGUUCCCAACUGAUUAUAAACAUGUUACAACAAAUCUUAGUAAGCUGCUCUGAAAGAUAAUGUGAGUGCAUUCUUGUUCAAUGGCUGAAAUUAAUGUCACAUUUAUAAAUAUCUAGAAAUGUAGAGGAUACGAUUUAAUUAAAUAAAAUGCAGUUUUUGAGGGUGUGAUUCAUGAAACUCAAGAUUGAGUCUGUUCCCUAUCUUACAUAAUAAUGGAUAAAAAGGUGCCA